rnacentral:rRNA from 1 species
UGCGUAGGCGGUUUAUUAAGUCAGAUGUGAAAGCCCCGGGCUUAACCUGGGGACUGCAUUUGAUACUGGUAGACUAGAGUAUGGUAGAGGGGGGUAGAAUUCCUAGUGUAGCGGUGAAAUGCGUAGAUAUUAGGAGGAAUACCAGUGGCGAAGGCGGCCCCCUGGACCAAUACUGACGCUGAGGUACGAAAGCGUGGGUAGCGAACA